UAGGGAAUCUUCGGCAAUGGACGAAAGUCUGACCGAGCAACGCCGCGUGAGUGAAGAAGGUUUUCGGAUCGUAAAACUCUGUUGUUAGAGAAGAACAAGGACGUUAGUAACUGAACGUCCCCUGACGGUAUCUAACCAGAAAGCCACGGCUAACUACGUGCCAGCAGCCGCGGUAAUACGUAGGUGGCAAGCGUUGUCCGGAUUUAUUGGGCGUAAAGCGAGCGCAGGCGGUUUCUUAAGUCUGAUGUGAAAGCCCCCGGCUCAACCGGGGAGGGUCAUUGGAAACUGGGAGACUUGAGUGCAGAAGAGGAGAGUGGAAAUCCAUGUGUAGCGGUGAAAUGCGUAGAUAUAUGGAGGAACACCAGUGGCGAAGGCGGCUCUCUGGUCUGUAACUGACGCUGAGGCUCGAAAGCGUGGGGAGCAAACAGG
rnacentral:rRNA from 1 species